ensembl:snRNA U6 U6 spliceosomal RNA
UUGCUUUGGCAGCACAUAUACUAAAAUUGGAAUGAUACAGAGAAUUAGCAUGGCCCUUGCACAAGGAUGACAUGAAAAUUCGUGAAGCAUUCCACAUUUUU